AUUGAACGCUGGCGGCAUGCUUUACACAUGCAAGUCGAACGGUAACAGGUUAAGCUGACGAGUGACGAACGGGUGAGUAAUGCAUCGGAACGUGCCCGAUCGUGGGGGAUAACGCAGCGAAAGCUGCGCUAAUACCGCAUACGAUCUGAGGAUGAAAGCGGGGGACCGUAAGGCCUCGCGCGAUCGGAGCGGCCGAUGUCAGAUUAGGUAGUUGGUGGGGUAAAGGCUCACCAAGCCGACGAUCUGUAGCUGGUCUGAGGGGACGACCAGCCACACUGGGACUGAGACACGGCCCAGACUCCGACGGGAGGCAGCAGUGGGGAAUUUUGGACAAUGGGCGCAAGCCUGAUCCAGCAAUGCCGCGUGCAGGAAGAAGGCCUUCGGGUUGUAAACUGCUUUUGUCCGGAAAGAAAUGGCUCUGGUUAAUACCUGGGGUCGAUGACGGUACCGGAAGAAUAAGGACCGGCUAACUACGUGCCAGCCGCCGCCGUAA
rnacentral:rRNA from 1 species